rnacentral:tRNA from 1 species
UAGCUCAGUUGGUAUAGCAUGGUGUUUGCAACACCCGGGUUGUGGGUUUGAUUCCCAU